rnacentral:rRNA from 1 species
ACAUGCAAGUCGAACGCUUUGUGGUUCAACUGAUUUGAAGAGCUUGCUCAGAUAUGACGAUGGACAUUGCAAAGAGUGGCGAACGGGUGAGUAACACGUGGGAAACCUACCUCUUAGCAGGGGAUAACAUUUGGAAACAGAUGCUAAUACCGUAUAACAAUGACAACCGCAUGGUUGUUAUUUAAAAGAUGGUUCUGCUAUCACUAAGAGAUGGUCCCGCGGUGCAUUAGCUAGUUGGUAAGGUAAUGGCUUACCAAGGCGAUGAUGCAUAGCCGAGUUGAGAGACUGAUCGGCCACAAUGGGACUGAGACACGGCCCAUACUCCUACGGGAGGCAGCAGUAGGGAAUCUUCCACAAUGGGCGAAAGCCUGAUGGAGCAACGCCGCGUGUGUGAUGAAGGGUUUCGGCUCGUAAAACACUGUUGUAAGAGAAGAAUGACAUUGAGAGUAACUGUUCAAUGUGUGACGGUAUCUUACCAGAAAGGAACGGCUAAAUACGUGCCAGCAGCCGCGGUAAUACGUAUGUUCCAAGCGUUAUCCGGAUUUAUUGGGCGUAAAGCGAGCGCAGACGGUUAUUUAAGUCUGAAGUGAAAGCCCUCAGCUCAACUGAGGAAUUGCUUUGGAAACUGGAUGACUUGAGUGCAGUAGAGGAAAGUGGAACUCCAUGUGUAGCGGUGAAAUGCGUAGAUAUAUGGAAGAACACCAGUGGCGAAGGCGGCUUUCUGGACUGUAACUGACGUUGAGGCUCGAAAGUGUGGGUAGCAAACAGGAUUAGAUACCCUGGUAGUCCACACCGUAAACGAUGAGUGCUAGGUGUUUGAGGGUUUCCGCCCUUAAGUGCCGCAGCUAACGCAUUAAGCACUCCGCCUGGGGAGUACGACCGCAAGGUUGAAACUCAAAGGAAUUGACGGGGACCCGCACAAGCGGUGGAGCAUGUGGUUUAAUUCGAAGCAACGCGAAGAACCUUACCAGGUCUUGACAUCCCUUGACAACUCCAGAGAUGGAGCGUUCCCUUCGGGGACAAGGUGACAGGUGGUGCAUGGUUGUCGUCAGCUCGUGUCGUGAGAUGUUGGGUUAAGUCCCGCAACGAGCGCAACCCUUAUUACUAGUUGCCAGCAUUCAGUUGGGCACUCUAGUGAGACUGCCGGUGACAAACCGGAGGAAGGUGGGGAUGACGUCAAAUCAUCAUGCCCCUUAUGACCUGGGCUACACACGUGCUACAAUGGCGUAUACAACGAGUUGCCAACCCGCGAGGGUGAGCUAAUCUCUUAAAGUACGUCUCAGUUCGGAUUGUAGGCUGCAACUCGCCUACAUGAAGUCGGAAUCGCUAGUAAUCGCGGAUCAGCACGCCGCGGUGAAUACGUUCCCGGGUCUUGUACACACCGCCCGUCACACCAUGAGAGUUUGUAACACCCAAAGCCGGUGGGGUAACCUUCGGGAGCCAGCCGUCUA